CCGCCUGCAAAGUGACUUGAGAGCCCCGCGACGCAGCCUUCUAGAGGAGCAGGGACUUCUCUGGAACACUGGCGUGCGCAGGGAUUAAUCCCACCGUAGAGAGCCAGCCUGGGCUUUGAAGUGUUACAAGGGGAGGGAGGAGUCACAUUGCAGGCCAAGCCAGAUGGGCAAGCAAUACAAGCUGUGAAUUUAUUCUUGACCCCGUAGGACAGUGACCACCAUCAUUUUUUUCUUCACCCUACAGUUAUGCACUGCCAAUAAGAUCCUGGAGCACAGGCCAAGGGUUUUAAUGCAAAAUACCAGAAAAAAAAGUCUGCAACAUCUCCUGUGAGUGGGGGAAGAAAAUAAGAUUAACAAUUGCAUCUUGAAACACUCAUAAUUUGAGGUAAGUGAUUGGAGGGUCUUGUCAUAAGUUACAGUUAGUUUGUAAUUAAAUUAAUCAUUAUUUACCUUGGAGUGUCAUGAUAUUGUUGUUGAAGGCAAUAAAAACAGGCAGGAGAGAGAGG
rnacentral:lncRNA from 1 species